rnacentral:rRNA from 1 species
AGACGGCCCUAUGGGUUGUAAACUGCUUUUGUACCGGAGAAAACCUUUCCCUGCGGGGAGAGCUGAUCGUACGGUGAGAAUAAGCAUCGGCUAACUUCGUGCCAGCAGCCGCGGUAAGACGAAGGAUGCAAGCGUUAUCCGGAUUCAUUGGGUUUAAAGGGAGCGUAGGCGGUCUAAUAAGUCAGUGGUGAAAUCUCUCGGCUUAACUGAGAAAUGGCCAUUGAUACUGUUGGACUUGAGUACAGAUGCCGUUGGCGGAAUAUGACAUGUAGUGGUGAAAUACAUAGAGAUGUCAUAGAACACCGAUUGCGAAGGCAGCUGACGAAACUGUAACUGACGCUGAGGCUCGAAAGUGUGGGGAUCAAACAGGAUUAGAUACCCUGGUAGUCCACACUGUAAACGAUGAUUACUCGCUGCUGAGGGGUGACCUUCAGUGGCUUAGCGAAAGCGAUAAGUAAUCCACCUGGGGAGUACGCCGGCAACGGUGAAACUCAAAGGAAUUGACGGGGGCCCGCACAAGCGGAGGAGCAUGUGGUUUAAUUCGAUGAUACGCGAGGAACCUUACCA